rnacentral:rRNA from 1 species
GACGAACGCUGGCGGCGUGCCUAAUACAUGCAAGUAGAACGCUGAAGAGAGGAGCUUACUCUUCUUGGAUGAGUUGCGAACGGGUGAGUAACGCGUAGGUAACCUGCCUUGUAGCGGGGGAUAACUAUUGGAAACGAUAGCUAAUACCGCAUAACAAUGGAUGACACAUGUCAUUUAUUUGAAAGGGGCAAUUGCUCCACUACAAGAUGGACCUGCGUUGUAUUAGCUAGUAGGUGAGGUAAUGGCUCACCUAGGCGACGAUACAUAGCCGACCUGAGAGGGUGAUCGGCCACACUGGGACUGGGACACGGCCCAGACUCCUACGGGAAGCAGCAGUAGGGAAUCGUCGGAAAGGGGGGCAACCCUGACCGAGAAACGCCGCGUGAGUGAAGAAGGGUUUCGGAUCGUAAAGCUCUGUUGUAAGUCAAGAACGGGUGUGAGAGUGGAAAGUUCAAACUGUGACGGUAGCUUAACAGAAAGGGACGGCUAACUACGUG